rnacentral:rRNA from 2 species
UACGUAGGGUGCGAGCGUUAAUCGGAAUUACUGGGCGUAAAGCGUGCGCAGGCGGUUCGUUGUGUCGGCGGUGAAAGCCCCGGGCUCAACCUGGGAAUGGCCGUUGAAACUGGCGAACUGGAGUGUGGCAGAGGGGGGUGGAAUUCCGCGUGUAGCAGUGAAAUGCGUAGAGAUGCGGAGGAACACCGAUGGCGAAGGCAGCCCCCUGGGCUGACACUGACGCUCAGGCACGAAAGCGUGGGGAGCAAACAGG